rnacentral:rRNA from 1 species
UGGGGAAUAUUGCACAAUGGGGGCAACCCUGAUGCAGCCAUGCCGCGUGUGUGAAGAAGGCCUUCGGGUUGUAAAGCACUUUCAGUGGGGAGGAAAGGGUAAAGUUUAAUACACUUUAUCUGUGACGUUACCCACAGAAGAAGCACCGGCUAACUCCGUGCCAGCAGCCGCGGUAAUACGGAGGGUGCAAGCGUUAAUCGGAAUUACCGGGCGUAAAGCGCGCGUAGGUGGUUUGUUAAGUGGGAUGUGAAAUCCCCGGGCUCAACCUGGGAACUGCAUCCCAAACUGACAGACUAGAGUACAAUAGAGGGGUGUGGAAUUUCCUGUGUAGCGGUGAAAUGCGUAGAUAUAGGAAGGAACACCAGUGGCGAAGGCGACACCCUGGAUUGAUACUGACACUGAGGUGCGAAAGCGUGGGGAGCGAACAGG